GAAAAUCCUGUAUUUGCUGCCAACUUGUCAUCCAAAACGUCAGUCCAGGUCGCGCGGUUUCUGCGGAUUCAAGCGGCGAUUUUUAGCCAGAUCUCGCUCAGGAUGAGUCGGUACUUUCUGGAGAUGGCGCCCACGAUGUCCGAGGCGCAGCUGAAAGGGCUGGACGAGCACAAGUACUCGGCUUCGGGCACAUCGGCCGUGGAACCCGUCAUGCAGGUGUUCUGGCGCUGGCUGGUGGAGAAAGUUCCGCUGUGGGUGGCUCCGAACCUCAUCACACUGGUGGGGCUCAUUAUCAAUGUGGUGACAUCACUGCUGCUCAUGUACUACUCACCUACGGCUAAGGAAGAGGCCCCAGCGUGGGUGUACAUGUCCUGUGCCGUGGGGUUGUUCCUGUACCAGUCGUUAGACGCGAUCGACGGGAAGCAGGCCCGCCGGACCGGCAGCAGCACGCCGCUCGGGGAGCUGUUCGAUCACGGCUGCGACUCCAUAUCAACAGUGUUUGUUGGAGUGGCGACAUGCUGUGCCAUGACGAUGGGAGACAACCCAGACCUCAUGUUCAUCACGUUUUUCAACGCCGUCUUUGUCUUCUACUGCGCGCACUGGCAGACAUACGUGUCGGGCACACUCAAAUUUGGCUAUUUUGAUGUGACAGAAACUCAGUUUGGAGUGAUAAUGCUGUUCUUAAUGAGCAUGGUCCUGGGCCAUGAGUUCUGGGGGAUGCAGGUCCCCCUGGUGGGUUUGUCUGUCCGUGUGAUCGCAGUGAUCUGUUCCACGUCUCUCUCCACGUGGACAGUCUGGGGGAACUUCCAGACUAUCCUGAAGGGCGGAGCAGGGAAAAACGGCUCAACAGUAGCGGGUACGAGUGUCCUCUCGCCGGGGUUCCCGAUCCUGUUCCCCAUCGUCCUGGCUCUGAUGAUCUACAAGAAAUCCUCCAUGGGCCUGUUCCAGAACCACCCCUGCCUCUAUCUGCUCAUGUUCGGCAUGAGCAUAGGAAAAAUCACCAACAAACUGGUAAUUGCACAUAUGACGAAAAGUGAGAUGACGAUGUUUGACUCGUCGAUGAUUGGCCCUGGACUGCUGUUCCUGGACCAGUACUUCAACAGUUUUAUCAACGAGUACAUCGUUCUAUGGAUAAGUUUGAUAUUUGUGACCUUUGACCUGGUGCAGUACUGCUGCCUGGUGUGUCUGCAGAUCUGUGACCACCUGGACAUCUACUGUUUCAACAUCACCAGCAAACCCUCAAAAAAGGGGCUCAACAGUGGGAACGUGAGCAAGUUAAUAUAUUUAUGCAUCCUAUCAUGACUAAAGGAGGUCAUCAGGAUACAACAAUGUAGUUCAAGUAUUUCCCUCCAUGCAACCAGAGGUGCAGAAAAUCUGACAGUCUACAGCAGACCUCGUACCCGGUCCCUGACACGGGCCAACAGGGAACAGGACCGCUGAUUGGUCCAACGGUUUGAAUCCACCAAUAAGAGACAUGAAAACAUUUUGUUUGCCCAAUCAAGACUGCAAGCUGCCCAGGACUUACUGUAAUGAGAUUAUAAGAGUUGAUCAGGGAAGUUGAAGGUAGAUUUCAUAGAGAAUUUUAACAGUUUUAUACAUGUAUGUAUGGCCAACGGAAUACCACAGGUUUCUGAGAUUGUGAUGUGUGAGAUAUAUAUAUUAUACAUAUUAUAUAUAUAUAUAUUCUGUACUCGUAUGUGAAAGUGAAAACGCUAAAUCUAAUUGACGUGAACUUUUGCAAUAUUUCCGGUUGCUGCUUUUUUUGGUCCAUUUGCAAUACAC